rnacentral:rRNA from 1 species
UACGUAGGGGGCAAGCGUUGUCCGGAAUCAUUGGGCGUAAAGAGCGCGCAGGCGGUCGUUCAAGUCGCGUGUGAAAGCCCCCGGCUCAACUGGGGAGGGUCACGCGAUACUGAUCGACUCGAAGGCAGGAGAGGGUAGUGGAAUUCCCGGUGUAGUGGUGAAAUGCGUAGAUAUCGGGAGGAACACCAGUGGCGAAGGCGACUACCUGGCCUGUUCUUGAGGCUGAGGCGCGAAAGCUAGGGGAGCAAACGGG